rnacentral:misc_RNA from 1 species
UCCUGGUUAACCCAGGCAGUCUCGCUAGAGUUCCCAGCAUUACCUGUUGGCAACUAACGAUAAGGGUUGCGCUCGUUGCGGGACUUAACCCAACACCUCACGGCACGAGCUGACGACAGCCAUGCAGCACCUGUGUAUCGGCCCCGAAGGGCUUAUUCAUUUCUGAAUAAUUCCAAUACAUGUCAAAUCUGGGUAAGGUUCUUCGCGUUGCAUCGAAUUAAACCACAUGCUCCACUGCUUGUGCGGGUCCCCGUCAAUUCUUUUGAGUUUCACCCUUGCGAGCGUACUCCCCAGGCGGUAUACUUAUCGCGUUAGCUUCGGCACAACCGGGGUUGAGUCCAGUUACACCAAGUAUACAUCGUUUACGGCAAGGACUAC